rnacentral:rRNA from 1 species
AUGCGUUGUUGGGUAGGGGAGCGUUCUGUAAGCCUGCGAAGGUGUGCUGUGAGGCAUGCUGGAGGUAUCAGAAGUGCGAAUGCUGACAUAAGUAACGAUAAAGCGGGUGAAAAGCCCGCUCGCCGGAAGACCAAGGGUUCCUGUCCAACGUUAAUCGGGGCAGGGUGAGUCGACCCCUAAGGCGAGGCCGAAAGGCGUAGUCGAUGGGAAACAGGUUAAUAUUCCUGUACUUGGUGUUACUGCGAAGGGGGGACGGAGAAGGCUAUGUUGGCCGGGCGACGGUUGUCCCGGUUUAAGCGUGUAGGCUGGU